CGUCGCCUGCUGUAUGACCGUCACGGCGGCCAUACCCGUGCGUUUUUGAAUCUGGUCGUGCCGCUGGCCACCGGCCACCGCCACGCGCACCAGGGAAACCACCGGGCCGCGCCCGGCAGGUCCCGCGCAGUUUCCCCGCUGAUCGGCCCCGGCCUUCGGCGAGGCGACGUAGAUAGCACGACACGGCG
rnacentral:ncRNA from 1 species